UGUUAUCCUGUCUGAAUAUGGGGGGACCAUCCUCCAAGGCUAAAUACUCCUGACUGACCGAUAGUGAACCAGUACCGUGAGGGAAAGGCGAAAAGAACCCCGGCGAGGGGAGUGAAAAAGAACCUGAAACCGUGUACGUACAAGCAGUGGGAGCACCUUUAUGGUGUGACUGCGUACCUUUUGUAUAAUGGGUCAGCGACUUAUAUUCUGUAGCAAGGUUAACCGAAUAGGGGAGCCGCAGGGAAACCGAGUCUUAACUGGGCGUCUUAGUUGCAGGGUAUAGACCCGAAACCCGGUGAUCUAGCCAUGGGCAGGUUGAAGGUUGGGUAACACUAACUGGAGGACCGAACCGACUAAUGUUGAAAAAUUAGCGGAUGACUUGUGGCUGGGGGUGAAAGGCCAAUCAAACCGGGAGAUAGCUGGUUCUCCCCGAAAGCUAUUUAGGUAGCGCCUCGUGAAUUCAUCUCCGGGGGUAGAGCACUGUUUCGGCUAGGGGGUCAUCCCGACUUACCAACCCGAUGCAAACUGCGAAUACCGGAGAAUGUUAUCACGGGAGACACACGGCGGGUGCUAACGUUCGUCGUGAAGAGGGAAACAACCCAGACCGCCGGCUAAGGUCCCAAAGUCAUAAUUAAGUGGGAAACGAAGUGGGAAGGCUCAGACAGCCAGGAUGUUGGCUUAGAAGCAGCCAUCAUUUAAAGAAAGCGUAAUAGCUCACUGGUCGAGUCGGCCUGCGCGGAAGAUGUAACGGGGCUAAAUUAUGCACCGAAGCCGCGGCAGCGAUAUGUAAAUAUUGUUGGGUAGGGGAGCG
rnacentral:rRNA from 1 species